rnacentral:rRNA from 1 species
AGAGUUUGAUCCUGGUCAGGAUGAACGCUAGCUACAGGCUUAACACAUGCAAGUCGAGGGGCAUCAGAUCGAAAGCUUGCUUUUGAUGCUGGCGACCGGCGCACGGGUGAGUAACGCGUAUCCAACCUUCCCUAUAGUAGAGAAUAGCCCGGCGAAAGUCGGAUUAAUGCUCUAUGUUGUAUUUAGAAGACAUCUGAAGAAUACCAAAGGUUUACCGCUAUAGGAUGGGGAUGCGUCUGAUUAGGUAGUAGGCGGGGUAACGGCCCACCUAGCCGACGAUCAGUAGGGGUUCUGAGAGGAAGGUCCCCCACAUUGGAACUGAGACACGGUCCAAACUCCUACGGGAGGCAGCAGUGAGGAAUAUUGGUCAAUGGACGAAAGUCUGAACCAGCCAAGUAGCGUGCAGGAUGACGGCCCUAUGGGUUGUAAACUGCUUUUAUAUAGGGAUAAAGUCGGGGACGUGUCCCCGUUUGUAGGUACUAUAUGAAUAAGGACCGGCUAAUUCCGUGCCAGCAGCCGCGGUAAUACGGAAGGUCCAGGCGUUAUCCGGAUUUAUUGGGUUUAAAGGGAGCGCAGGCUGAUGAUUAAGCGUGACGUGAAAUGUAGCCGCUCAACGGCUGAACUGCGUCGCGAACUGGUUAUCUUGAGUGAGUUCGAUGUUGGCGGAAUUCGUGGUGUAGCGGUGAAAUGCUUAGAUAUCACGAAGAACUCCGAUUGCGAAGGCAGCCAACAAGGCCUUUACUGACGCUAAAGCUCGAAGGUGCGGGUAUCGA